rnacentral:rRNA from 1 species
GGGGGGCUAGGACUCUAAAGACUCCCAAACCAUUGUGAACGUACCCGUCCGAUGUUGCUUCGGCGGGCGGCCCCUUCCUGGGGCCGCUGCCUCCCUCACGGGGGGCGCCCGCCGGCAGUGAUCAAAACUCUUUGUAUUUUAGUGGCCUCUCUGAGAAAACAAGCAAAUAAGUUAAAACUUUCAACAACGGAUCUCUUGGUUCUGGCAUCGAUGAAGAACGCAGCGAAAUGCGAUAAGUAAUGUGAAUUGCAGAAUUCAGUGAAUCAUCGAAUCUUUGAACGCACAUUGCGCCCGCUAGUAUUCUAGCGGGCAUGCCUGUUCGAGCGUCAUUUCAACCCUCAAGCCCUGCUUGGUGUUGGGGUCCUACGGCUGCCGUAGGCCCUGAAAACUAGUGGCGGGCUCGCUAUAACUCCGAGCGUAGUAGUAAAAUAUCUCGCUAGGGAGGUGUCGCGGGUUCCGGCCGUGAAAGCCCCAUCUUUUACACAAGGUUGACCUCGGAUCAGGUAGGAAUACCCGCUGAACUUAAGCAUAUCAA